rnacentral:lncRNA from 1 species
UGGCACUUGAUUCAGGCUUAUCUGACAGGUGACUCUGGCAUGUAAGGCACAUGGUUCAGCAUGUCCCACACAUGGUUCUGGUGUAUCUCGCAGCUGUUUCAGGCCUGUCUGGCAGGUGCUUUGGGCAUGUCUGACACAUGGUUCCAGCAUGUCUGGAACCUGGUUCUGGUGUACCUGACAGGUGGUUCCAGUGUGUCUGGCAGGUGGUUCUGGCAUGUCUGGGAUGUGCUUUCAGUGUGUCCUUCAGUUGGUUCCAGCAUGUCUGGCAGGUGGUUCCACUGUGUCCUACAGGUGGAUCAUGUGUGUCUGGCAGGUGGUUCAGGCUUCUCCGGCAGGAGGUUCAGCCGUGUCCGGCUCCUGCUCGCGGCCUGUGUGGCAGCUGUUCUGCCAUAUCCAACAGGUGUUUCUGGCAUGUCCAGCAGGUGGUUCUGGCAUUUCUGGCACCUGGUUCUGGCAUAUCUGGCAGGUGGUUUCAGCAUAUCUGGCAUGUGGCUCCAGCAUGUCCAGUACCUUGUUCUGACAUGUCCAGCAGGUGGUUCCGUCAGUCUGGCAGGUUGUUGCAGUGUGUCUGGAGGGUGCAUCAAGCAUGUCUGGUGGGUGAUUCAGGUGUGUCCAAUGGGUGGUUAGGCAUCUCUGGCGGGUGGUUCAGUCUUGUCUGGCAUGCAGUUCAGGCUUCUCCAGAGCUGGUUCCAGGUGCAUCCGGCAUGUGGUUCAGGCAUGGCCNUGUGGUUCAGGCUUGUCCAGCAGCUGUUUCGGGCAUGCCUUGCAGGUUGUUCCAGCAUAUCUGGUACCUGGUUCCAGCAUGUCCAGGAUGUGGUUCCGGCGUAUCAGGCAGGUGGUUCUGCCGUGUCUGGCACCUGGUUCUGGUGUGUCUGUCAGGUGUUUCUGGCCUUACAGUCACCUGGUUCUGGCAUAUCAGGGAGUUUGUUCUGGUGCUUCCGGCAGGUGGUUCUUGUGUGUCUGGCACCUGGUUCCAGCAUGUCCGGCAGGUGGUUCUGCCUGUCUGGCAAGUUGUUCAGGUGUGUCCAUCAGGUGGGCCAGGUGCGUCCCGCAGGUGGUCCAGGCAUGGCCAUCCUGUGGUCCAGGCAUUUCUUAAGCAUGGCUCUGACAUGUCCGAAAGGUUGUUUGAGUGUGUCUGGCAGGUGGUUCAGGCGUGUCUGGCACUUGAUUCAGGCUUAUCUGACAGGUGACUCUGGCAUGUAAGGCACAUGGUUCAGCAUGUCCCACACAUGGUUCUGGUGUAUCUCGCAGCUGUUUCAGGCCUGUCUGGCAGGUGCUUUGGGCAUGUCUGACACAUGGUUCCAGCAUGUCUGGAACCUGGUUCUGGUGUACCUGACAGGUGGUUCCAGUGUG